AUAUUUUAUUUUCCGCAAUUAUAUGGAGCGCCUUUAUUUUUUUUUAAUAUUUAUGGACAACUCUAUGUGCAUAUAUGAACAACUCAAAACGUGAAAGUGAUUUUGUGAAUUUAAUUUGCUGAAGUGCAAUAUAGCUUCUAAGCUAGCGCAAGUGCCGUGAAAAAGUGAGGUUAUGAGAACCGAACCAAAAGAUGCAGUGUUGUUGGUGAAUUAACACAAAAUGCAAGCAACGAACGAAUGUAAAUGACUAUGCAGAAUUUUCUUUAUGUGAAUUAAUUAUAUUGCUAUUAAUCACUGAAAUUUAAAUUGUCGCAAGUUGUUUCACGCUUAUUUAAAAUACACUGCAACUUUUUGAAAUGGCCGUAGCGCGCACUUUUGUACAUAUGUAUGUUUUUGUGUGCUAACAAGCAAAUGAAAUAUUGUAAUGCACUUAAGUCUCUUACUUCACAAAAUCACUUUGGUUAUUAGUUUUUCACAAUUUAUAGUUUUGUGGCGCGAAUUUUACACACAAAAAAAUAUAGUGCAGUGAAAUUUUUAACCACGUACCUUAUUUUGUCGUUUUAAUACAGGUGUCGAAUUUGCUAAAAGCUGCUGUAUGUUUGUAAUUGCUGCAGGUUUUGAAUCCUUAAACUGCUCCUGUGGUUAACGUCACUGUAUUUCGAAUGAGCUGUGUGGAGUGGUAUUCUCGCGGAUAAGCCUGUCCUGAUUGGCAUACAACUUGUUGGUGCUGGUAAGAAAACUUUUUCAGUCUCGGCGACAAAGGACCAUAAUCAUCGGCGCAACGCUUGAGCAAGAUUUGGAUGCACGUUCGCACCGAAGAUUAAUUUAAUGAAAAGAAAUUAAAAUCUUGGUAUUAGUAUAACUAAAAAUAAUAGUGUUUAUUCACUUAAGUAACUUGUGUAUAUAUAUAUAUAUAUAUGUACAUAUAUUUGAAUUGCAGAUUACCUUGAAAUACAAAAGCUGAGCUUGGUGGCAGGAUGACGUCCUCUUCUUCGGAUACUUGCAAAAGAAAUUUAACAGAGUAGUCAACAGCACCCGGAUUCCAACAUUCGCUAUCGCUAAAACUCCAACGCCAAAAAGUGCUAAAUGAAUUUUAGCAAUUUUCGCGAUUCUAUCAUGAAAAUGCAACUCUAAAAAUCGCAAUUUUUUGGUAAUUUUUUGACAAAUUUUAGCGAUGAACAAAAUGAACCCGGAUAAAGUGAGUGAACUGUUUUUGACAGCUCAAACAGCUAAAAUCGCGAUUCCAGCGUUUUUUCCAUCGCUAAAAAUACUUAUUUUUCGCUUAAAAGCCUGCAAAUUUGACGACGACAAAUAUUCGGUGCUAAAAAAGUAAAUCAACAAAAAAUAGGUAAUAUUUAGAUUGUUGUUUGUUUAAACUACUCGAUUAAAUAAAAAUUGUUGAAAUUCAUAUUAAAAAUGGAAAACUGCAACAGUAGAAGGGUGACAAAUGAGCAAAAAUAUAUGCUUGUUCAAUAUUUGGAAGAACACAGGGAAUUAUCUCAUGACAGUCCGGUUGUAAACGUUUGCUGGAGCAGUGGAACCAUCUUGCCCAGAAACUAAACGCGUGUGGAGGAGCCAUUAAACCCGGUGAAGGAUGGAAACAGAAAAAAGUCAACCAACUAUUUUUGAUACGAUCACCAUUAAAAAGAUCCUUUGCACUGCUUUAAAAAACAUUAUUGUUAGAUAUGAACGAAUUUUCAUUCCGAGCGGUAAAUACGAAAAUCAUGUACAAAGAAGUUUUCGUGCUCGUAUAUUCAGGCCAUGUAGUUCGAGAGCAACUUGCCCGAAAAUUGGCUCCGUGUGUUUGCAGUAACCACACCAUUGUUCAUAAAAUAUGACCAUAGUCCUUCUAAGAAACGAUUGGGUGUGUGGUUUAGUAAAUAAUGGCUAGCAACUUAAGAAUCGGCUUGCAUAGUGAAUUAAGUUUUAUAUUUAUUGCUGGUUUUCAUGAAUAGCAUUACAUCAGUUUUUUGUAUUUAUGGCUGCAACAAAAUGCUUAAUUAACCGACUUCUUAUCACUUUACAAACACUUUAUUUAAUUUGCAAUCCAAAACUCUUCGAUUGUAUAUGUCAAUGUUAUUGCGGCUUGUUAACAUUUUUUAUUUUUAAUU